AAACCGUAUUAAUCUUCCGUUAAAUGAUGUAUGUCACAAAAUAUUUGCUGCUAGAUGGCGUUUAUUCCUUACCUUUCUUUCAUCCGUACCGGAAAAUCUACAAGCAUGCAAAAAAGCAAGAAACAAUUUCUUCUUGGUCCCAUUUUCACGGAAAAUCGAGAAGAUAAGCGGCUGGUUUGAGGUGUGCAAAUACUAAUUUUGUGUUCCGGUGGAGUUACGAAAUAGAUGUGUAAAUUGUUCGCGAUGUGUGUAUGUGCGUAAUAGAUUCUUUGCUGUGUAAUCUGUUUACACGGACAUGACACUGCAACAGAUAAGAAUUUACUGCAGAGCAUUUAGUGCUAUUAACAUAAACUGUUGGAAAUACAUACAUAUUUGCUACGACAGGAAAGACGUCGCAAAGAGACGAUAAAAAGUAAUAACGAACGUACAUAUUAGUUCAGACCUAAAAUUCGCAAUGGAAUAUUUCUGGUUCACGAUUAAAAUGAUGAUGGUCACAUACAUGAUUUUCGGAGAGGUUGCCGGCGUCGCCAUGGGCGUUGGUUGCGUGAUGUACAAAUCUGUGUGGCUUACUCCACCCAGAAUGGAUGGGAGCAUUCCCAACGAAGAAAUCCCGGAGGGCGCGACCGAUGUAUAGAUAAAUGUUCCGUAAAUGUAAAUUAUUAUGGACUCAUUUAAUCAUGAAUAUGUAAGAAUAUAAGAGAAGGUCCAUAAAUCUAAUUCAAAAAAAUAAUUUUUAUACAAAAUUUCAAAAAUUUCUAGAAAUUUCAGUUUUUGAGACCGCCGCGAAAAAAAAGUAUUUUUAUUCUCAGGGGACCUUAGGGUAUUCAAAAAAUUUCAGCCAAAUCCGAGCUAGACCGCUAUACUGCAAUUUUGCUGUUAAUUAUUUCAAAUAUGAAAACGUUUGUAGAGUUGAUAAAGGAUGAAUUUGCUUUUAUAAGAUGUGAAAUUUGUAAAUAUGAAGCGAAAUUGUGAAUAAAUUCA